CCUACGGGAGGCAGCAGUGGGGAAUAUUGGACAAUGGGCGAAAGCCUGAUCCAGCCAUGCCGCGUGAGUGACGAAGGUCUUCGGAUUGUAAAGCUCUUUUGGCGGGGAAGAUAAUGACGGUACCCGCAGAAUAAGCCCCGGCUAACUUCGUGCCAGCAGCCGCGGUAAU
rnacentral:rRNA from 1 species